rnacentral:rRNA from 1 species
CCUACGGGAGACAGCAGUGGGGGAUAUUGGACAAUGGGGGGAACCCUGAUCCAGCGACGCCGCGUGAGUGAAGAAGUAUUUCGGUAUGUAAAGCUCUGUCAGCAGGGAAGAAAGCAAUGACGGUACCUGACCAAGAGGCACCGGCUAACGACGUGCUAGCAGCCGCGGUAAUACGGAGGGGGUAAGCGUUAUCCGGAAUUACUGGGUGUAAAGGGAGCGUAGACGGCUGUGCAAGUCUGGAGUGAAAGGCGGGGGCGCAACCCCCGGACUGCUCUGGAAACUGUGUGGCUGGAGUGCAGGAGAGGGAAGCGGAAUUCUUGGUGUAGCAGUGAAAUGCGUAGAUAUUAGGAGGAACACUAGUGGCGAAGGCGGCUUCCUGGACUGUAACUGACGUUGAGGUUCGAAGGCGAGGGGAGCGAACGGGAUUAGAUACCCGGGUAGUC